rnacentral:rRNA from 1 species
UGGAGCUUGCUCCGGCCGAUUUAGUGGCGGACGGGUGAGUAACGCGUGGGUAACCUGCCUCAUACAGGGGGAUAGCAGUUGGAAACGACUGGUAAAACCGCAUAAGCGCACAGCAUCGCAUGAUGCAGUGUGAAAAACUCCGGUGGUAUGAGAUGGACCCGCGUCUGAUUAGCUUGUUGGUGAGGUAACGGCCCACCAAGGCGACGAUCAGUAGCCGGACUGAGAGGUUGAACGGCCACAUUGGGACUGAGACACGGCCCAGACUCC